UACGUAGGUGGCAAGCGUUGUCCGGAUUUACUGGGCGUAAAGAGCGCGCAGGCGGUCGUUCAAGUCGCGUGUGAAAGCCCCCGGCUCAACUGGGGAGGGUCACGCGAUACUGAUCGACUCGAAGGCAGGAGAGGGAAGUGGAAUUCCCGGUGUAGUGGUGAAAUGCGUAGAUAUCGGGAGGAGCACCAGUGGCGAAGGCGACUUCCUGGCCUGUUCUUGACGCUGAUGCGCGAAAGCGUGGGUAGCAAACAGG
rnacentral:rRNA from 1 species